AUUGAACGCUGGCGGAAUGCUUUACACAUGCAAGUCGAACGGCAGCACGGGUGCUUGCACCUGGUGGCGAGUGGCGAACGGGUGAGUAAUAUAUCGGAACGUACCUUAUUGUGGGGGAUAACGCAGCGAAAGCUGUGCUAAUACCGCAUAAUCCCUUAGGGGGAAAGCGGGGGACCGUAAGGCCUCGCGCAAUUAGAGCGGCCGAUACCUGAUUAGCUAGUUGGUGAGGUAAAGGCUCACCAAGGCAACGAUCAGUAGCUGGUCUGAGAGGACGACCAGCCACACUGGGACUGAGACACGGCCCAGACUCCUACGGGAGGCAGCAGUGGGGAAUAUUGCACAAUGGGGCGCAAGCCUGAUGCAGCAACGCCGCGUGAGGGAUGAAGGCCUUCGGGUUGGUAAACCUCUUUUAGUCAGGGAAGAAGCGAAAGUAGACGGUACCUGCAGAAAAAGACACCGGCUAACUACGUGCCAGCAGCCG
rnacentral:rRNA from 1 species